rnacentral:lncRNA from 1 species
CAUAACACCCCUUUGAAAAUUUACUGAAACAUUUUGCAGAAUAAUAACACAAGAAUAAUUUSAUGACCUAAUAAAUAUAACUUGCAUCUUGCUCUGUGCAAAUGCUAAUUUGUGUCCUUCCUUUAACGCAGCAACUACAGGAAGAAUGAGCCUUUAUUUUUAUGAGAUGCUUGCAAACAUCCUGAAAACCACGCUGGCCAGGCUAACCCACGCCACAAAAUGCUCUUGCCCACAGGUGGUUGAGGAAGGGGUCUGAGAGUGGCCGCAAACACAGGCCGAGCUCCUCCAGGCCAUGCAGCAGCCAGCCGCGAGCAGCGUGCCCGCCUCAGCCGGGGCGCGUUUUGUCUUUCUGCAGGUGCCCUGCGCCCACACCGGCCGCUUUGGUCUCCAUGUACGGGCAGCCUCGGCACUGCCCGAAAGACUGCGGAAGAAAGAGGAACUUUCUGUGAGACCUGCUGCUCCGCCACAAGCUGGGAGCCAUGAGGACCAUUCCGUGUUUGUGGAGAGGAGCACCCAAGUCCCCGGGCACCUCCUGGUCCAGCAGAUGGAUCCGCAAAGCGCCRGCAUGAGGAUGAUGCCUCACAGGUAAGAGGUUGCCCAAAGCCCUGUUGCAGGGAAAAGCUCUGGACACCUGAAGCACGAGUGUCAAGCAGCAAGAAAAUGCCUCUAAUAAAUAGUGGGGGAAAUAUGGUAUAUUGCUUUUA